ACGCUUGAAGUCAGUCGCGUUGGCCGGAAAUCAGCCUUGGUUCUCCUUGGUGUAUUUUCUGGUUGACGGGCCAGCAUCAGUUUUGACCGGUGGAAAAAGUUGUAGGGAAUGUGGCAUCUUCGGAUGUGUUAUAGCCUUACUUCGUAUACAUCGGUUGGGACUGAGGAACUCAGCACGCCGCAAGGCCGGGGUUCGCCCACGUUCGUGCUUAGGAUGCUGGCAUAAUGGCUUUAAUCGACCCGUCUUGAAACACGGACCAAGGAGUC
rnacentral:rRNA from 1 species